UAGUUAUUAAUUUAAAAAAAAUAUUAAUUUUGUAAAUUAAAUAUAUAUGUAUAUAUAAUAUAUAACUAA
rnacentral:tRNA from 1 species